UUGUAUUCCGUCGUCAGAGGUGAAAUUCUUGGAUUGCCGGAAGACAAACUACUGCGAAAGCAUUUGCCAAGGAUGUUUUCAUUGAUCAAGAACGAAGGAAGUGGGAUCGAAAACGAUUAGAUACCGUUGUAGUCUCUUCUGUAAACUAUGCCAAUUGGGGAUCGGUACAGGAUUUUUAAUGACUGUAUCGGCACCCGAAGAGAAAUCUUUAAAUGAGGUUCGGGGGGGAG
rnacentral:rRNA from 1 species